UUAUGUGAGGCCUCCAAAUCACCAAUAGAACAAUUCUGUGCACUCCCUCCAAAACCAAUAAAAGCACCCUAAUCUCCAAAAUUCAAAUGGAUUUUAAUUUUUUUUUAAAUAAAAAUAAAACACAAAAUAUGCAAACACGCGUACAAUAUAACCUCCCCAUAAACUGCUACUCCUACUUUCAUGGAGUAUCAAGCAAAAAAAAAACUCCCAUUGUCGCUUCUCCAUUGUUAUUGAGCAUAGUUUCUCCUCAGUACUACAGUCUACAGAUUUUGGGUAGACGACGGCAAGGCGACGGAGAGCUAGAAGACGACCUUUAAUUUUCACAUUGACUGCUGCGAAAAUACUAGGUGUUGUACAUGUUGGGGGGACUUGACUGCUGGCCCAACUUAUAGGUUUACACAAUGGUUGGAAUUGGUAACGUUCGUAAGAGAAAAACUCAGUAUCGGUCCUUCGGUUUCCCUUAUCUCCCAAGUUUUGAUCUUGCUACCCUCUUGAAGUACUUCCUUUUUCCAAUUGUCAAUAUUGUUAAUACUGAUCUUUUUGUUGUAUAAAAUUGGUUAUGUUGUUGGUACUAUUAUCUCAAAGGCGCACAUAAUGAGAGUAGGAUGUUUGUCCUACACUAGCAACUGUUGUAUCGAUUGUUAGUUGAAUUACGCCAUUUGUUGGAGCAUAA